rnacentral:rRNA from 1 species
AGGACGAACGCUGGCGGCGUGCUUAACACAUGCAAGUCGAGCGGAAAGGCCCUUCGGGGUACUCGAGCGGCGAACGGGUGAGUAACACGUGGGCAACCUGCCCCUAGCUCUGGGAUAACUCCGGGAAACCGGGGCUAAUACCGGAUACGAUCUUCCAUGGCAUCUCAGAAGAUGGAAAGUUUUUCGGCUAGGGAUGGGCCCGCGGCCUAUCAGCUUGUUGGUGAGGUAACGGCCCACCAAGGCGACGACGGGUA